AAAUCCCGCCUGUUUACCAAUAAAAUCACCUCUAGCAUUUGUAGUAUUAGAGGCUCUGCCUGCCCAGGAACAUUCGUGAAAUGGCUGUGGUAUCCUGACCAUGCAAAGGUAGCAUAAUCACUUGUUCCCUAAAUAGUGACUCAUAUGAAUGGCCACACGAGGGUUU
rnacentral:ncRNA from 1 species